rnacentral:rRNA from 1 species
AGAGCGAACGCUGGCGGUAGGCCUAACACAUGCAAGUCGAGCGCCCCGCAAGGGGAGCGGCAGACGGGAGAGUAACACGUGGGAACGUACCCUUCAGUUCGGAACAACCCAGGGAAACUUGGGCUAAUACCGGAUACGUCCGUAAGGAGAAAGAUUUAUCGCUGAAGGAUCGGCCCGCGUCUGAUUAGCUAGUUGGUGGGGUAAUGGCCCACCAAGGCGACGAUCAGUAGCUGGUCUGAGAGGAUGAUCAGCCUCAUUGGGACUGAGACACGGCCCAAACUCCUACGGGAGGCAGCAGUGGGGAAUAUUGGACAAUGGCGCAAGCCUGAUCCAGCCAUGCCGCGUGGAUGAUGAAGGCCUUAGGGUUGUAAAGUCCCUUCGGCGGGAAGAUAAUGAGGUACCCGCAGAAGAAGCCCCGGCUAACUUCGUGCCAGCAGCCGC